UCCACAGGGGCCAGGGGCGUGGCUACAGGGGCCAGGGGCGUGGCUACAGGGGCCCAGGCCGCCGCCCCUCGGCCAUCAUUGGCUAAAGUCCCCUCUGACCGUGUGGGUCUUUUUAACUACUGCUCUGCUGUAAGUGUAAAGAUCUCCUUAACACAUCAGGAUGACCUGGUUAGAGCCAUAGUAUAGCCAGUAGUAUAGCCAGUAUACAGCUAGUAGUAUAGCCAGUAGUAUAGCCAGUAUACAGCCAGUAGUAUAGCCAGUAUACAGCCAGUAGUAUAGCCAGUAUACAGCUAGUAGUAUAGCCAGUAUACAACUAGUAGUAUAGCCAGUAUACAACUAGUAGUAUAGCCAGUAUACAGCUAGUAGUAUAGCCAGUAGUAUAGCCAGUAUACAGCUAGUAGUAUAGCCAGUAGUAUAGCCAGUAUACAGCCAGUAGUAUAGCCAGUAUACAGCCAGUAGUAUAGCCAGUAUACAGCUAGUAGUAUAGCCAGUAUGCAACUAGUAGUAUAGCCAGUAGUAUAGCCAGUAUACAGCUAGUAGUAUAGCCAGUAUACAGCUAGUAUAUAGUUAGUGUACAGCUGGUAUAGUAUACAGCUAAUUUACAACUGGUAUAUAACUAGUAUACAGCUGCUGGUAUAUAACUAGUAUACUGCUGCUAGUAUAUAACUAGUAUACAGCUGGUGUAUAACUAGUCUAUAACUAGCAUACAGCUGGUGUAUAACUAGUCUAUAACUAGCAUACAGCUGGUGUAUAACUAGUCUAUAACUAGCAUACAGCUGGUGUAUAACUAGUCUAUAACUAGCAUACAGCUGGUGUAUAACUAGUCUAUAACUAGCAUACAGCUGGUGUAUAACUAGUCUAUAACUAGCAUACAGCUGGUGUAUAACUAGUCUAUAACUAGCAUACAGCCGGUGUAUAACUAGUCUAUAACUAGCAUACAGCUGGUGUAUAACUAGUCUAUAACUAGCAUACAGCU